UACGUAGGGCGCAAGCGUUGUCCGGAAUUAUUGGGCGUAAAGAGCUCGUAGGCGGCUUGUCACGUCGGGUGUGAAAGCCCGGGGCUUAACCCCGGGUCUGCAUUCGAUACGGGCUAGCUAGAGUGUGGUAGGGGAGAUCGGAAUUCCUGGUGUAGCGGUGAAAUGCGCAGAUAUCAGGAGGAACACCGGUGGCGAAGGCGGAUCUCUGGGCCAUUACUGACGCUGAGGAGCGAAAGCGUGGGGAUCAAACAGG
rnacentral:rRNA from 1 species